GGGUAAAAUAGCUAUUGGGCUUGUCUUCCACGCAGUGCUCCACCUCCUCCAGGUUGCGCAGCGUGAUCCGCAUCAGGCUGGAGUUGAGCAUCAGCUCGUUGCGAUGGGCAGGCCACAUGUACUGAGGGGCUGGGUUGACAAAGAAUAUCCGUGUGUCCCCGGUCGACACUUGGUUGUCACAGAUUAAGGGGUCCCCGAAGCCACCGAUGACCACUUUGUUCCCACCGUCCAAGAGGAUCUCGUGGGUGACGAUGUCUUUGCCUUUCAGGUAACGCCACACUCUCACCUUGCACGAGUAGGUGUGGUGCACGGGGUCCACGUUCAUGAUCUCCUCCACCGUUCCGGUGAGCACCACGUUGGCCUCCUCCUCUCGGCGCUGCAGCUCCCGUUCGGGGCAGUUCGCCCACCCUCCCAGGGCCAAUCCCAGCGCCAAACCCAGCGCCAG
rnacentral:lncRNA from 1 species